AAGUCGUAACAAGGUUUCCGUAGGUGAACCUGCGGAAGGAUCAUUAACAAAUCUACCCCAACCUUCCUGUGCAAAUGUACGUUGCCGGCUGUGAGGAGGUGCCGCCGUGAGGCUGGUGCCGAACUGCGCCGGCAACACCCAUACACGUUUUGAUGGUCAGAGGUAACACCUUCAAUAUAACAACAACUUUUAACAAUGGAUCUCUUGGCUCUU
rnacentral:misc_RNA from 1 species